CCUACGGGAGGCAGCAGUGAGGAAUAUUGGUCAAUGGACGAGAGUCUGAACCAGCCAAGUAGCGUGAAGGAUGACUGCCCUAUGGGUUGUAAACUUCUGUUAUAAAGGAAUAAAACGAGGCACGUGUGCCUUUUUGCAUGUACUUUAUGAAUAAGGAUCGGCUAACUCCGUGCCAGCAGCCGCGGUAAUACGGAGGAUCCGAGCGUUAUCCGGAUUUAUUGGGUUUAAAGGGAGCGUAGAUGGGUUGUUAAGUCAGUUGUGCAAGUUUGCGGCUCAACCGUAAAAUGGCAAUGGAUACGGGCAGUCUUGCGUACACUUGCGGUAGGCGGACUUCGUGGUGUAGCGG
rnacentral:rRNA from 1 species